CACGCCCAUUGUACUUCAUCAGGUGCUCUGGUGAUCAUAGUUCCAGGCGCUUGUUGGAGUACACUUACCGUG
rfam:Bombyx mori DNA, contig: Bm_scaf6_contig5296, strain: p50T/Dazao, build 2, whole genome shotgun sequence.